rnacentral:misc_RNA from 1 species
UACCAGCUAAAAUAUAUCCAACAAUCAUAAGGAACAGAGCAUCUUGAAAUGAAAGUAAUGUUUGCGAUGGUUCAGUUUUGCUUUUCUGUCCACUGGAUGCCGACGAUGUACUCUUAUGGAUAAGGUCAAUAAUUUGAGCAGCAAGACUUUGGCUUGUAUCUCCUCCAGCACUUGCGCUCAAUAUUUUCUCAGCACUAGUCAAUGCAUCCCAUCUUGCACAAUGUGAUUCAUCAAGGGCAACUAGUACAGCUGCUGCUAACUGAAUAAUUCCUUUGUUUCUGAGUGAUGAUGAUUGGCUUUUAGCUAAUGUUUCAAUCAUGGGUUUCAACUCUGAUUUUGUAGCAAAACCAGGGCGAGUUUUCACAUUAAUGGCAAUAUUUUCCCGGCGCAAAGUUUCUUGAAGCCACUUCCUUACCAGUAAUGCCCCAUCUUUUGUUCUUCUGUCAAAUAUAGCUUCCAUAUAUGGUGUUCUCUGUAGAAACUAAGGACCCAUUAAGCAACUGAACCUCAGAUGGAGUAGACUUCUCAUCCUGAGCUUUAUUGCAGAGAUUAACCAAGUUU